UUUUUUUUUUUAAACUAUCUGCCUUUGUGCCUUCAGGGGCAGUGAAAGAAGACUGCCGAUUCUAGAUUGCUUUCAGAGUUUAGUUUGCUGAUGAUGGAUUACCAUGUCAAUUUAAACGGCAUAGGAUUAAUUUGUUUCAAUGAUUUCUCUUUAGGCUGAAUGCCAGGACUUUUUUUUGUGUGUGUGUGCUUUCUAUCUCUCCCCUCGCUCUUCAGAAUAAGAAUAAGAAUGAAAGGAAGAAAAAACACCAUCAUCAAACCCUUUUUGAUAUCCCCUUUCUGAAAAGACCAUAAUAGGGAACGACAAGUUUGGUGUAAAGUUGCAACGCGGGCUCAAAUUUGAGUGUUUUUUAAAUCUCAUUUGCAAAGGCCGAAGCCUCCCGUCAGUCACAUUAAAAUGAAAUUGGAUCUAGCAUUUAUUCAAUAAAUACUUCUCUUGUAGGUAAUCCAGCACAAAGAGCUUUUGACACAUAAGGACUUAAUUUGUCUUGGAUAAGAAGUUAUUAAUAUGGCACAUUUAAACUUGCCACCUACAAUAAGGUCAUUGAGAUCUUUACAUGAUUUGGAGAACGGAUUGGAGGGUGCUUGAGGGAAAUAUGAGGCAAGGUCUGAGAUGGCAUUCACCAAGAGGAAGUGGGGUGGGAACGUAGCAAGUCAUCCAAUGGAAAAGGUCCUGGGCUAAAAACCUAGGCUAAAACCUCAUCUUAGCUGGAAUUCUUCAGACAAAUCCUUGCUCGGAUACCUCAGUGUCCCAUCCACAAUGGGGGAAGAACAGCACUGAUUCUCGAUCCCUGUAACGGUGUAUGAUUUUUUUUUUUUUAAAGGAGAGACUGCCGCCCUCCCUUCUCCGAUACUGCAUCCACGUUUAAUGUUUAUAAAAUGUAGUGGGCAAAUCUCCCAGCGUAUAUUGUUCACAUUCAGAUCACUGCCACGUACCCCCACGUUCAUAUGGCAACCAAACCCGCUGCUUAGAAAUCAAGCUAAAAGGCUGCAGUGUGGGUUUGCAGGCUUUUCUAUAGCGUGUAAAGCUCUUCAGGCAGGAACGGAACAAGGUGGUUAAAAAGUUCAGAAUUGAUUUUGGAGAUGCGUCUGAAGAAGGACGUCCCCCGUAAUGGGUUAGGGCCUGAACAAAAGCAUAUUUGGGUGAUUGGCUUUGUUCAUUCACGAGCCCCGUGUCAGGAAGGAGACUUUUCUGUAAUGCAAAGAUAAGAACUCAGUCCAAUAGAAUGAUUUUGGAAACGGCAGAAGAGAUGCGUCUGCUUGGCUGAAACAGUAAAGAGAAAGUGGAACAACACAGAAGUGAUCAAUAAAACACUUAACAUUCAUGCUCAGAUAUUCUUACAACAGCCCUGUAAGAUUAGCCAAUGUCUCUGGGGCUGUGCUGGACAGUGGGGUUGAAGAACUGUAGAUCUGCUUCAAAGAUAAACUCCUGAAUUCAUGCUAGAGGUCAGGCAUGAAAAAUACCAUCUUAGCUCACCCUUCUCUCUCAUGCACGGAUGUCCAGCUGUGCUCAGUCAAGCUUACUUCUUUGCAGCUGCCUUCAGGAACACCCUUCACCUACUGAAUUAACCUAUUUUGGGGGGGUGUAAUACAUUGAGCCAUAAACAAACCCAAAAGGCUGGAUUUGAUCAAUGUUUAAGCUAACAAAGCUUAUAGAUGUAUCUGCUAGGUUUGCCAUUGCCCUGGUUAAGGGUGUUUUAUGAACAUAGCCAUUAAAGGUACUGAAAGAUGCAACAUUAGGGUAGGGGAAAAGUAGAAUUGAAUGUAUUGAACAACACUAGGAAGACAGAAAGACAGAUUAUAUAUCAUAGUGAGGAAGUGAAGAAUGGUUGACGUUACUUUUUCUACCAAAGCAUUUCUAAAUGCACGGGAUAUUUUUAUGGGCUUGUGCAGCAGCGAAGAACAAUUCAGUACCUGGAAUGGUUAUUGAAUUUUUGUUCUCCAUCCAUUAGAGAGCCCAGUGCUACUCAGAACUUCUUUCCUUUUUAUUUUCGAGUGCUGGCUUUGAAUCUACACUUGUAUACAGUAUAACAAUAUUAAGCCUUUCAAUUUUGGAUUUGUGUUUUUGUAUCUGUAAUUGAUAUGGAUUAUUCUGGCCUUGGAUGGGCUGGGGAUGGUUUAGUCAUCUCACCUGGGAUAGAAUGGUGGGUCCAGAGGUAGAAUAUUAGAGGCUCCCAUUUUUUCCUUUUUUGCCAAUGUAUUUUUUACUCUCCGUUUUUGACCAUUGAAAAUGAAUAGACCAAUAAACAUUUUCCUUUUGAACUGAUGACUUGCCCUGCUUUGAGUACAAGGAUGAACAAAUUUCAUUAUUUCUAAAUAGUAAAACACACUUCGGAGGAGUCCCAUUCUAAUUUUCCCCAUUGCCUCCUCCUUAAAACGUCAUUAUGAAACUUAGAAUAAAUGGUUAGGCUUCUGCAUUCUUCCCUUCUGAAUAUAUUUUUUCUUCUACCAGGCCCUAGUUGCUUUAACACAACAUUUUUACUAAAGCUAAAAUCUGCCGCUUUAAUGUUAUAAUUUCUCAGAAGUUUUCUUCCCCUGCAAAACAAACAUCUGCUUUUCUAUUUUAUUCUCUGAUAGGCUGAGAACCAACAUUGGAUUUAUCUUGUUGGUGUUGGGAUUGAUGUUGUUGGUGGAGUGAUCAAUGUUUUCUUGUGGGUGGGGUGUAUUCCCUGAUGCUUAAAGGAGCUGUUCAUAAGACCUUUAUUAAAGAGACUCUCCUUUGACCUGAGACACCUAUAUAAUUAUAGGGCAGUCCUAAAUAUCCUGUUUCUAGGAAAGGUGUUUCAAAAGGUGGUGGGCUCCCAGUUCCAGACGCAACUGAUCGAUACUGAUUUUCUGGAUCCAUUUCAAUUAGGUUUGCAGGUGGGAUCCGGUAUUGAAAAUGCCUUGAUUACCUUGGUGUGUAGAAAAUAAAUGGAUGGGGAAAAUGUGGUCCUACUACUAGUUCUCCUAGACCUCAGUACCAUUCUCCAUAGUACCUUUCUGGUCUGUCUAGCAGGAUUGGACCUUGUGCACCGUGGUUACAAGGGUUCUGGUCCUUCUUGCCACAGCAUUUCCAUGAAGUAAUGCUGAAGACUACUGCUUGAUAUUGAUGUCCUACAGGAUUUUAUAUGGUCCCCAUGAUCAACAUCUACUUGAAAUUUCUGGGAGAAGUCAUAUGAAUAGAGUGGCGUGCCCUGAACUCUAUUGCUUUUUACCAUCCAACUUCGAGGAAAUAUUCUGCACCCUUGAACAAUAGCUAUAUCUGAUAACAGGCUGAAUAAAACAGAACAAAUUGGAAUUGCAUCUAAACAAGAUGAAGAUAUUGUUGGCUAAUGGACUGGGAAUGAAAUUCAGCCUGGUAUGAAUGGAGCCAUGCUCCCUUGAAAGAGCUGGUUUGGGAGAGCUCCUUGAUUCUCAGUCGUCUCUGGAUUUGCAAGUGAUGGCUCUGGUGAUGAGGAAUCCUUUUGCAUAAUUAUAUCUAAUGUUCUAUCUGUAUGCUAACCCUUCUCCUGUGUUGCCUUCAGGGUAAGGAACAUAGUCCUUUCACAAUUUGUGUGUAAUCCCCACUCUCUCAAUAUUUAGGAAAUCUGUAAAGAUGCAACUCUUUCACCAGACAUUUCAUUUUUUAGGUAUUUUUCAUAUUUAACACUAGUUUUCAUUUGUAUUUUUAAUAUAACCACGUCACUAAAUAUUUGUAAGACCACAUCUCUGAUUUUGUGUUCUUUGAAGGAAAUUUCAGAAACAAUUCCCUUUGAUUCAACUGAAUGAUAAGGAAAAAAAAAUGCUGGGGAAUUGUUCAGCUCAAAACAAGAAGGAAUUACAAUAAAUCCUGCAAGCCUGAACUUUGUCCGUUCCUUCUCCGAUUGAUGUGGUUAGCCAAGAGGGAUGCUACUGAAGUUCAGUCUUCUUUAUUGUAGGAAUCCCUCAAGGUGGUUCUUAUGGAAGUACUCAGUGAUGACCACACCUACAUUCUAGUAGUAGGGAGAAGAAGAAGCUUCUCAACAUGGUGGUGGAACCCUGGCCUUCACCACAAAUAAAAGAGAACAAGCUAAGAAAACUUCUUUGGGAGAAGAAUAAAAAUUCACUGAGACCAGCCUUCAGCUUCUAACCCAGAUGUGUUUCAGAAGACUGUUGGUGGGACGGAAAGGCUACACAUUUAAUUUUUCCAUCAGCACACUAGAUAUCAAAAGUUUGGAGACCUGAGCUGUCCAGCUUCUGGUUGCACAGAGAACUCUAACCAUCUUCAGCCAAACGUGACUAUACAGUAGCUUGUGUUCAGAUCUUCCCCAUGAACAAGGAAGAAGGGAUACUGGUCUUCACUCCAGAAUCAAGAUUGUGAGGUUUUAAAAAGGGGCUCAACAUGGUGUACCUUGUACUCCUUCCUCCUCUUUGAUGCUGAGAACAAUAAACUUGUGAGGAAGGCUGGGUUGAAAGCUAGUGAUUGCCUCAAGACAUCCAGUGGGCUUCCUUGGGUAAAGGGAGACUUGAACCCCCAAGGCUCAUGAGUAUGAGUGCAUUUCUAUCUUUAAGCAUUUUUAUAGGUGAGACUAAUGUUGCAUUCACAUUCUGUACAUUGCUUACAGUAGAAGCUCAAUUUCUCAUCCAUGUUCCAUCCAUGUUUCAGCAGAUUAGCAUAAAAAGUCCUGAGAAAUGCUCAGCAAUGGCUCUUUGCAUCUCUGGUGAGAAUGUACAUGGUCGUCCCAUGCACUUGAAGAAUGCUUCCCGUUGUCAGCCAAAUCUUGAGAUGGGCUUAUUUUAUCACACAGACUUGAUAAAAGCUAUCAAACAAUCUACGCCAUAUACCUGCUAGGAAGAACAUGGAAAACUCAGCCCAAGGAUAUAUACAUGACAUCAAUAGGCAACAUCAUUAAGAAAGCUGACAUUUCAUAGCUUGGAUGUGGGCAGUAGAAAUCUACUUGAAACAAGAUACAAUAUAGAUACAGCUUACAUGGUGAUGUCCAAAACUUGCUGAAGUUUUUUCUAGGGCUUCCGUUGACCAAAGACCUGUUAAAUUGGUUACUUUUCAGCCUUUUAAUUAAGUGCCUAUUCUGAAAUAAAAGUGCAUAUUUCUAAAAUAUUUGUGU